AUUGAACGCUGGCGGCAUGCCUUACACAUGCAAGUCGAACGGUAACGGGCCUUCGGGUGCCGACGAGUGGCGAACGGGUGAGUAAUGUAUCGGAACGUACCUUUCAGUGGGGGAUAACGUAGCGAAAGUUACGCUAAUACCGCAUAUUCUGUGCGCAGGAAAGCAGGGGAUCGCAAGACCUUGCGCUGAUUGAGCGGCCGAUAUCAGAUUAGCUAGUUGGUGAGGUAAAGGAUCACCAAGGCGACGAUCUGUAGCGGGUCUGAGAGGAUGAUCCGCCACACUGGAACUGAGACACGGUCCAGACUCCUACGGGAGGCAGCAGUGGGGAAUUUUGGACAAUGGGGGCAACCCUGAUCCAGCCAUGCCGCGUGAGUGAAGAAGGCCUUCGGGUUGUAAAGCUCUUUCGGCCGGGAAGAAAUCGUAUCAGCUAAUACCUGGUGCGGAUGACGGUACCGGCAUAAGAAGCACCGGCUAACUACGUGCCAGCAGCCGCAGUAAUAC
rnacentral:rRNA from 1 species